rnacentral:rRNA from 1 species
GAUGAACGCUGGCGGCGUGCCUAAUACAUGCAAGUCGAGCGAACAGACGAGGAGCUUGCUCCUCUGACGUUAGCGGCGGACGGGUGAGUAACACGUGGAUAACCUACCUAUAAGACUGGGAUAACUUCGGGAAACCGGAGCUAAUACCGGAUAAUAUAUUGAACCGCAUGGUUCAAUAGUGAAAGACGGUUUUGCUGUCACUUAUAGAUGGAUCCGCGCCGCAUUAGCUAGUUGGUAAGGUAACGGCUUACCAAGGCAACGAUGCGUAGCCGACCUGAGAGGGUGAUCGGCCACACUGGAACUGAGACACGGUCCAGACUCCUACGGGAGGCAGCAGUAGGGAAUCUUCCGCAAUGGGCGAAAGCUUGACGGAGCAACGCCGCGUGAGUGAUGAAGGUCUUCGGAUCGUAAAACGCUGUUAUUAGGGAAGAACAAAUGUGUAAGUAACUAUGCACGUCUUGACGGUACCUAAUCAGAAAGCCACGGCUAACUACGUG